GCUGCUGGGGAAGUCAUGAGCUACCUGUGGGGCGAGCUGACCAUCCGUACUACCGUCGCCUUGAAUGCCUCCAACCAGCAGUGUUUGCUGCCAGACAGACACCUUGAGAAGACAGAGGACAUGGUUAAGUUCAUGAAGGAUAUCUUGGAUGGUGCUGCUGAAGCACAGGCUGGUGAUGGACUUCUGCAACGAAGCAAGAGAGUCAUCUAUGAGGCCAAGGCUGCUGUAAUGUCUGUCCCAGUCCUCUGUCAGCCUCCCAGACAAGAAAUCUCUGCUCCUGUUGAGGCGGAGCAGCUUCUGUCUGUUGUUACUUGUCCUAGUGCUGAGCACCACCAAGCAGCAGCUGGGCCCUUGGUGCUGACCCCUGCCCCUUGGUAAUGUAUAGACGUUCAUGAGAUCCCUUCUCUUCCCCCGACUAAACAGCUCCCCCCCCUCCUCUUCACUCCCCCCCCCACCUCUUCUCUCCCCCCCUCUUCGCUCUCGCCCCCCCCUCCUCUCUCCCCCCCCGCCCCCCCUCUUCGCUCUCCCCCCCACCCCCCUCUUCGCUCUCCCCCCCACAAUAACGAGAGCCACACCAGAGGCCAGAGCUGUGCUGUCUCAGCAAGCAAAGGGCAAAGGAGGCAACGAGAUGCUGUAGGGACUCUGACUCUUGCUGCCAGGCUGCAACAAGAGGAAGGGAGAUUCUGGCCCCCAACAGGUGAAAACAAGAGAGGAGCAAGGCAGGAAGCACAAAAGCAAACCUCUCUCAUGAAGGAAACAGCACAACUUCAAGCACAGCUUUCAGCACAGCAUACCAAGGAGGAACAGAAAUCCCAAGCAGAGCAGAGGGGAGGAGUGGCUUAGAGAAAAGCAAAAGCACCCCACAAAGCACACAGCCAAAACACCACCCCACAAAGGACACAGCCAACCUACCCCCGCAAAGGGGAGCAGCCAAAGGCUUCUGCCUCUCCUGGGGCAACUUAAAAAGGGGAGGUCAAUUGAAGUCUCCUCCCACCCCAGCUGUGGCCACUUUGCCCUCCCUGCUCAGUGCCCUUUAUAAGCAGAGCAGGAGGAGCCCAGCCCCAAGCUGGGCCCAUUGCGGGCCAAGGGAUCCUCCGCCUGGCAUCCCAGGAGGUUGGAUCCUCGAGGGUUUUGCUCUGGGUUCUGCGAUGGAGGCAAAGAUGGAGCAGGAGCACCAACUGGAGCUGGUAAUGGACCAGCAGCAGCAGCUGGUAAUGGAACUGGUAAUGGAGCAGAAGCUGGUAACGUAGAGUGGAGAGGAGGAGGAGGAAAGCAGCAGAGACUGCCCGGGGGAAGGCAGAGAGUGGGGGAGGAUGGCAGGGGCCCCUCAGAAAUUGACAGGGGGGGAAAAUCCCCAACCCAUGGAUGUUCUCUUGGUUGUCUUUAAUAGAUAAACAAAGAGCAAGUGCGACUGAAAGAGCUUUGCAGAAAGCAGGAGUCAGCCACCUGCCACCCAUCCCCUCCUGAUCCCAACCCCAGAAACCCAAAGCAGCACUUGGCACAGGAGGUCUCUCGUGUUGCAGUCUCACCUUCACGCCCUGGAAUACUUUGCUUCAGCCAGCAGCAUGGGGUUGGAUACCAACAGCAGAGUCGACUUAACCUGUGACUAAGUGGACUUUAAGUGUUCUGACUCCACAGUAGAACUUGAUAAAGAAAGAUGUGAAUGGAAGCAGGCUCUGACUGCUCUGUGUAACUGAUGAGAAGCUUUCUGAAGGAGGUGAAUUUGUUUUACAGCCCUUCACUCAGCUGGUUACAGAUCUUCAAGGUAGCUGCUGGUGCAGUGUCUGUUGGAGACUGUUAGCCACUCUGAAGGAGGGAGUUAGUGGAGCAUCAUAGGAACAUGUAGAGAGAUUGGUCAGUAAAAGGCAUUUGUGUUA